AAAACGUUUUAUUCAGGAUCGUUUUACGUUCGUAUGGAACAUAAAUAAAAUUUUCUAAUAAUUACAAGUCUUUUUGCUCAAGUAGCUUUGUUUUGAUGUUUAAGUAGAUUAAGUGAUUAGUAGAUUUGUUAAAAUUAUGUCAUCUUCUUAUAUCCGCCAAAUCCGGUAAUAAAAACAGCUAAACGUAAUCAAAAUAGAGAAGGUUUGAAUAUUCUUUUUAUCUAUUUAAUAAUACUAAAGUUAAUAGUAGUAGUGCUCUUUCGAGCCUGUUUGAUACAGACCUCUUGGCAGCCAUUGGAAUCGAGGUAAUGGGGAGAGAGAGUUGCAACAGCUUUGUUUUAUAAGAAAACGUGAACGAAAAUGUAUCUUUAAACGAAGGUGUAUCUUUGAACGAAACUGUAUGUUUAGUGUAUUUUUAUUAUGUAUGUAAUAUCAAGAUUUGUAAUAAUAAAUACGUAACAU